AAAUAAUUAUAUUUUCAUGAAUUUACAAUUUUGCAUUUUUUUUUAAUUUCUUGUUUACAUGAGGUAUUUAUAUAAUUUCAAAAUAAAAAUAUACUUUUGAACAUUUAUUUCUUAUUCUCUCUCUAAAUUGGAGAGAACUUAUCUAAUGUAAAAUACAAGUAUUUUACCUCUCCUUUUAUUUUUCCCUCUUUCCAAAUAAAGGGAAGUAAAAAGUCCUUUAUUUUCUUCUAGUUAUUUUUCUUUCCUCCAACUUUUCAUACAUCCAAAGAGAGGUGGGUGGUUAUCAUUUUCAAUAUGGCACUUGAUAGUUGCAACUCUUUAAUUUGUAAAUAAAUCUAUUAGGUUAAUGUGAGAAUGCUUGUAGCAUAUAUAUAUGAGAGGGAUGUCAAGGUAGAAAAUCAAAUGUCUCAAUAUGAAAGCAUGAUUAGUUAAUAGAAAAAGCAGUAAGAAGGAAAAGAAAAGACUUAAAAUAAUGUGAGGAGAAAUAGUAUUAAAGAAUUUACAA
rnacentral:misc_RNA from 1 species